CCCUUCGUACAAUUCCCCUUGAGUUGAUCAUGGCUCAGAUUGAACGCUGGCGGCAUGCCUUACACAUGCAAGUCGAGCGGCAGCGCGGGGGCAACCCUGGCGGCGAGCGGCGAACGGGUGAGUAAUGCAUCGGAACGUGUCCUCUUGUGGGGGAUAACCAGUCGAAAGACUGGCUAAUACCGCAUGAGCUCGAAAGAGGAAAGCAGGGGAUCCGCAAGGACCUUGCGCGAGAGGAGCGGCCGAUGCCCGAUUAGCUAGUUGGUGGGGUAAUAGCCCACCAAGGCGACGAUCGGUAGCUGGUCUGAGAGGACGACCAGCCACACUGGGACUGAGACACGGCCCAGACUCCUACGGGAGGCAGCAGUGGGGAAUUUUGGACAAUGGGGGCAACCCUGAUCCAGCCAUGCCGCGUGUGUGAAGAAGGCCUUCGGGUUGUAAAGCACUUUCGGCCGGAACGAAAUCGCGCGGAUCAAUACCCCGCGUGGAUGACGGUACCGGAAGAAGAAGCACCGGCUAACUACGUGCCAGCAGCCGCGGUAAUACGUAGGGUGCGAGCGUUAAUCGGAAUUACUGGGCGUAAAGUGUGCGCAGGCGGCCGCGCAAGUCGAGUGUGAAAUCCCCGGGCUUAACUUGGGAAUUGCGCUCGAAACUACGUGGCUGGAGUGUGGCAGAGGAAGGUGGAAUUCCACGUGUAGCGGUGAAAUGCGUAGAGAUGUGGAGGAACACCGAUGGCGAAGGCAGCCUUCUGGGGCCACACUGACGC
rnacentral:rRNA from 1 species